CCCUACCGCUAUCGGGAUGGGAUUAAGACAUGUUAGUCGUGCGCUUCCUAGCCAUGAUGGAGGCGCGGCGCACAGCUCAGUAUCACGUGGCUAACCUAACCUUAGGACGGGGGCACCCCCGGGAAACUGGGGCUAAUUUCCGAUAGGUGAAGAUUCCUGGAAUGGAUUUUUGCCUAAAGGGCACUUGGGUCAUGCUUCCAGGUGUUGCCUAAGGAUGGGGCCGCGGCCGAUCAGGUUGUUGGUGAGGUAAUGGCCCACCAAGCCUUUUACCGGUGCGGGCCGUGGGAGCGGGAGCCCGGAGAUGGGCACUGAGACAAGGGCCCAGGCCCUACGGGGCGCAGCAGUCGCGAAAAUUUCGCAAUAAGCGAAAGCUUGACGGAGCUAUCCCGAGUGCCAUCCGCUGAGGAUGGCUUUUCUCUAGUGUAGAUAGCUGGGGGAAUAAGGAGAGGGCAAGUCUGGUGUCAGCCGCCGCGGUAAUACCAGCUCUCCGAGUGGUGGGGACGAUUAUUGGGCCUAAAGCAUCCGUAGCCGGCUGAGCAAGUCCCCUGUUAAAUCCAGCGAUUUAAUCGUUGGCCUGCGGGGGAUACUGCUUGGCUAGGGGGCGAGAGAGGCCGUCGGUAUUCCCGGGGUAGGGGUGAAAUCCUAUAAUCCCGGGAGGACCACCAGUGGCGAAGGCUGUCGGCUAGAACGCGCUCGACGGUGAGGGAUGAAAGCU
rnacentral:rRNA from 1 species